GAGUUUGAUCCUGGCUCAGAUUGAACGCUGGCGGCAUGCCUUACACAUGCAAGUCGAACGGCAGCACGGGAGCUUGCUCCUGGUGGCGAGUGGCGAACGGGUGAGUAAUGCAUCGGAACGUAUCCUGGAGUGGGGGAUAACGUAGCGAAAGUUACGCUAAUACCGCAUAUUCUGUGAGCAGGAAAGCGGGGGACCUUCGGGCCUCGCGCUCUUGGAGCGGCCGAUGUCGGAUUAGCUAGUUGGUGAGGUGAAGGCUCACCAAGGCGACGAUCCGUAGCAGGUCUGAGAGGAUGAUCUGCCACACUGGAACUGAGACACGGUCCAGACUCCUACGGGAGGCAGCAGUGGGGAAUAUUGGACAAUGGGGGCAACCCUGAUCCAGCCAUGCCGCGUGAGUGAAGAAGGCC
rnacentral:rRNA from 1 species